rnacentral:rRNA from 1 species
UGUCUUUUAAAUAAAGACUAGAAUGAACGGCCAAACGAGGUUCUACCUGUCUCUUACAAAUAAUCAGUGAAAUUGAUCUUCCUGUGCAAAAGCAGGAAUAACAUUAUAAGACGAGAAGACCCUGUGGAACUUCAAAUACAAAUCAACUGUGACUACACUCACCUACGAGGCCCACAUCAAACCAACAUCUGAUUUAUAUUUUCGGUUGGGGCGACCUCGGAGUAAAAUAAAACCUCCGAAAAAAUAGAACUCCAUCUAAACCUAGGCCUACAGCCCAAAGUGCUUCCAGCAAAACGAUCCAAUAUAUUUGAUCAACGAACCAAGCUACCCCAGGGAUAACAGCGCAAUCCCCUCUUAGAGUCCUCAUCGACGAGGGGGUUUACGACCUCGAUGUUGGAUCAGGACAUCCUGAUGGUGCAACCGCUAUCAAAGGUUCGUUUGUUCAACGAUUAAUAGU